CCCUUAGAUGUCCUGGGCCGCACGCGUGCUACACUGAUGCAUACAGCGAGUACUCCCAGCUCCGCGAGGCUGCUGGUAAUCAGCAAUAUGCAUCGUGAUGGGGAUAGAUCUUUGGAAUUAUAGAUCUUGAACGAGGAAUUCCUAGUAAACGCAAGUCAUCACCUUGCGUUGACUAAGUUCCUGCCCUUUGUACACACCGCCCGUCGCUCCUACCGAUUUCGAGUGAUCCGGUGAAUCAUUCGGACCGCGUGGGCUUGACCUAACGUGGAAAGUCUAGUAAACCAUAUCACUUAGAGGAAGGAGAAGUCGUAACA
rnacentral:rRNA from 1 species